GUUGUGGUUGGAGCAGGAGUUGUGGUGGUUGGAGCUGGAGUUGUGGUGGUUGGAGCCGGAGUUGGUGUGGCUGCAAUUGUGGUGGUUGUAGCGGGAGUCUUGGUGGCUGCAGUUGUGGUGGUUGGAGCCAGAGUUGUGGUAGUUGGAUAUGGAGUUGUAGUGGUUGGAGCUGGACUUGUGGUGGCUGCAGUUGUGGUGGUUGGAGCAAGCGUUGUUGUGGUUAGACCAGGAGUUGUGGUAGCUGCAGUUGUGGUGGUUGGAGCUGGAGUUGUUGUGGUUCCAACUUGAUUCGUGGUGGUUGGAGCUGGACUUGUGGUGGCUGCAGUUUUGGUGGUUGGAGCUGGAGUUGUAGUCAUU